AUAAUAAUAGCUAAUAUAUAGCUCAAAAGACUUUUAAUUCAAAAAUGUACAAGUACACAAUAAUCCAAACACGCCUUAAAAUACAUGUUAGGAUCUUAAGAAAACACUUACAUUAUCACCAACCACUAACAAGUCCAUUAAUGGAAAGAUAAAGACAAGAAGAAAAGGAGGAGAAAACACUAGGUCGGUAGGACCCUUUAACAGGAAUAUAAAAAUAUCAGACCAAAUUAAAUAUCUGUCCAGCCUUUUGCCAAAAAACAAAGACUUUUUUUGCGAGGCCUCACAUCUCCUGCCUGUCAAAACAAACAAAGAAUAUGAUACCCUUCUUCUUGUUCAAAAUUUGGCAUCAAUUUAAUUAGAAUCUGUUAACGCCAAGAUCUUUCUUCACGUCCCAAUCACGUAAGACGUCCUGAUCCUGCAC
rnacentral:lncRNA from 1 species